CAUCGAGUCUUUGAACGCAAGUUGCGCCCGAAGCCACUAGGUUGAGGGCACGUCUGCCUGGGCGUCACACAAUGUGUCGCCCCCUUGCAGCUCGCCUUGCACAGGGCGAGUGUUGCUAAUGGGGGCGGAGAAUGGCUUCCCGUGCGUAGGUGCGGCCAGCCUAAAUUGUAGUCCCUCAUCUCGCGGGGUCACAACAAGUGGUGGUUGAAAAGCUUAAACAAGUUGUGCACACCAUGCGAUGGAGGUGAUGUUCUGGACCCUAAGGCAAUCCCUCUAUUGUGAGGAGCGUUUGUCACGACUGCGACCCCAGGUCAGGCGGGGCUACCCGCUGAGUUUAAGCAUAUCAAUAAGCGGARGAAAAGAAACUAACAAGGAUUCCCUUAGUAACGGCGAGCGAACUGGGAAGAGCCCAAGCUUAGAAUCGGGGCGGCUUCGUCGCUCGAAUUGUAGU
rnacentral:rRNA from 1 species